GGCUCUUUUCCUCCCUGAAGGCCAGAUGGUUAUGAGCCUUGUGGGCGGAGGGGCUUCUGCAAACCCCAUCCCCAAAGAACAGUGCCAAAGGUCUGGAAGGCAGCCUCAUUCACUACUUGAGCCCACUUCCAGUGUGUGGGAGAAGCAUCGAUUGUCAAGCUGAAGGUGAAUAAGACGUUUUGGUUGAAUUGAGAAGGCUGAAUCCAGCAGCCCUUUAUAAGACUUACAUGAACCGAUG